AGCAGCCGCGGUAAUUCCAGCUCCAAUAGCGUAUAUUAAAGUUGUUGCAGUUAAAAAGCUCGUAGUUGAAUUUUGGGGUCAGUAGGUUGGUCGUGCCACUGGUAUGUACUGGCCUCACUGAUUCCUCCUUCCUGAUGAACCGUAAUGCCAUUAAUUUGGUGUUGCGAGGAAUCUGGACUGUUACUUUGAAAAAAUUAGAGUGUUUAAAGCAGGCUAACGCUUGAAUACAUUAGCAUGGAAUAAUGGAAUAGGACGUUCGAUCCUAUUUUGUUGGUUUCUAGGAUUGACGUAAUGAUUAAUAGGGAUAGUUGGGGGCAUUAGUAUUCAAUUGUCAGAGGUGAAAUUCUUGGAUUUAUCGAAGACUAACUACUGCGAAAGCAUUUGCCAAGGAUGUUUUCAUUAAUCAAGAACGAAAGUUAGGGGAUCGAAGACGAUCAGAUACCGUCGUAGUCUUAACCAUAAAUUAUGCCGACUAGGGAUCGGAUGAUGUUAAUUUUUUAAUGACUCAUUCGGCGCCUUACG
rnacentral:rRNA from 1 species